GGCACGAAUGCUGGUGGAUCUACACCUUGUAUGGCCAGACGCAGGUUCGAACCCUGCCGGGGCUUAGCCCUGUAGCUCAACGGUAGAGCGGGUGAUUCACCUUAACUUGUCGUGCCACC
rfam:Salmonella enterica subsp. enterica serovar Enteritidis str. LA5, WGS project CAGR02000000 data, contig: Scaffold42-Contig1